rnacentral:rRNA from 1 species
UGGCUCAGAACGAACGCUGGCGGCGUGCCUCAGACAUGCAAGUCGAACGCGAAAGUCCCCUUCGGGGGGCAAGUAGAGUGGCGCACGGGUGAGUAACACGUAGGUAAUCUACCUUUGGAUUGGGAAUAACCAUCGGAAACGGUGGCUAAUACCGAAUAAUGCAGCGGCACCUAAUGGUGACAGUUGUUAAAGCGGGGGAUCGCAAGACCUCGCGUCUGAAGAGGAGCCUGCGGCAGAUUAGCUAGUUGGUAAGGUAACGGCUUACCAAAGCAAAGAUCUGUAGCCGGCCUGAGAGGGCGGUCAGCCACACUGAUCUCUGACAUACGGGGAAGACUC